rnacentral:rRNA from 1 species
CCUACGGGAGGCUGCAGUGAGGAAUAUUGGUCAAUGGCCGUAAGGCUGAACCAGCCAAGUCGCGUGAAGGAAGAAGGAUCUAUGGUUUGUAAACUUCUUUUAUAGGGGAAUAAAGGUAUCCUCGUGUGGAUAUUUGCAUGUACCCUAUGAAUAAGCAUAGUCUACCUCCGUGCCAGCAGCCGCGGUAAUACGGAGGCUGCGAGCGUUAUCCGGAUUUAUUGGGUUUAAAGGGUGCGUAGGUUGUUUUUAAAGUCUGCGGUGAAAGUUUGUGGCUCAACCAUAAAAUUGCCGUUGAAACUGGAAGACGUGAGUGUGUUUGAGGUGGGCGGAAUGCGUGGUGUAGCGGUGAAAUGCAGAGAUAUAACGCAGAACUCCGAUUGCGAAGGCAGCUUACUAAGCCAUAACGGACACUGAGGCACGAAAGCGUGGGGAUCAAACAGGAUUAGAUACCCGGGUAGUC